AAAACAGCGGUCGCGUCCUUGGUGGUUCAUAAUAACUUCUCGAAUCGCAUCGGCUUGUGCGGCGAUGCUUCAUUCAAAUAUCUGCCCUAUCAACUUUCGAUGGUCAGGAUCAGAGGCCUACCAUGGUUUUCAACGGGUCAACGGGGAAUCAAGGGUUCGAUUCCGGAGAGGGAGCCUGAGAAACGGCUACCACAUCCAAGGAAGGCAGCAGGCGCGCAAAUUACCCAAUCCCGACACGAGGAGGUAGUGACAAUAAAUAACAAUAUAGGGCCCUUUUGGGUCUGUAUCAAUUGGAAUCGAGUACAAUUUAAAUCCCUUAACGAGGAACAAUUGGAGGGCAAGUCUGGUGCCAGCAGCCGCGGUAAUCUCCAGCUCCAAUAGCGUCAUAUCUAAAGUUGUUGCAGUUAAAAAGCUCGUAGUUGAACUUCGAACGUGGCUGGGCGGUCCGCCUCACGGUGUGUACUGUCUGGCCGUGUACUCUUUCUUGGUGAGCCGGGAUGCCCUUUAUCUGGGUCGUCGUAGGGGAACCAGGACGUUUACCUUGAGAAAAUUAGAGUGUCCAAAGAAGGACUAGCCCGGAUUCA
rnacentral:rRNA from 1 species